rnacentral:rRNA from 1 species
UCGAGAAUCAUUCGCAAUGGGCGAAAGCCUGACGAUGCGACGCCGUGUGAACGAAGAAGGCCUUCGGGUUGUAAAGUUCCUUUGCCUGGGGACAAGCGAUACAUACAAAUAGUGUGUAAAGUUGAGAGUACUAGGUGAAUAAGCACCGGCUAACUCCGUGCCAGCAGCUGCGGUAAUACGGAGGGUGCAAGCAUUAAUCGGAUUUAUUAGGCAUAAAGGGCGCGUAGGCGGCAAUAUAAGUCAUGGGUGAAAUUCCACAGCUCAACUGUGGAGCGGCCUGUGAUACUGUAUAGCUAGAGUGUAAAAGGGGAAAGUAGAAUUCCACGUGUAGCGGUGAAAUGCGUAGAUAUGUGGAGGAAUACCGGUGGCGAAGGCGACUUUCUAAUUUACAACUGACGCUGAGGCGCGAAAGCAAGGGGAGCAAACAGGAUUAGAUACCCUGGUAGUCCUUGCUGUAAACGAUGCAUACUUGACGUUGCUGGG